UACGUAGGGUGCGAGCGUUAAUCGGAAUUACUGGGCGUAAAGCGUGCGCAGGCGGUUUGUUAAGACAGAUGUGAAAUCCCCGGGCUUAACCUGGGAACUGCGCUUGUUACUGGCAGGCUUGAGUGUGGCAGAGGGGGGUGGAAUUCCACGUGUAGCAGUGAAAUGCGUAGAGAAUGUGGAGGAACACCGAUGGCGAAGGCAGCCCCCUGGGCUAACACUGACGCUCAUGCACGAAAGCGUGGGGAGCAAACAGG
rnacentral:rRNA from 1 species